rnacentral:lncRNA from 1 species
CAUGGAUCUGGCAUUGGGAUUAUCGAUCUGGCAUCGAACUCUAAGGAGCAGCCACUUCUGCUGGGAAGAUACAGUCUGGCACUGUCAACUCCGCUGGGGAUAUAUAGUCUGGCACUGUCAACUCUACUGGGGAGUGUAUGUCCUGAAACAACCGCUUGGGGAAGUACGGUGGUGAGAAACUGCUGGGGAUUGAAGAAUCCAACACUCUGAUCAGCUCUGCAGGGAUAAGACACCGAAUUUGUCUGUUGGCGACUUCACUGGGGAAGAUAUUCACGAUCAUCUGCAGGGGAUUUUAAGGAAAUGCCCCGAGGGUAUCUGUUCUGAAUAGACGAUCCAAAGCACUUAAAAUUUACAGCAAUUUUAAAUGUUUAUUAAGCAUGUACCUGUAAAGCCCUUAUGUGUCAUGAUGCAAUGUUUAUCAAAAAUUCGGACGUCAUUUUUGCAAACAAAACAGUAAAAUGAAAAUGAAAACAGAGAUAU